AAGGUUAAGCCUCACGGUUCAUUAGUACCGGUUAGCUCAACGCAUCGCUGCGCUUACACACCCGGCCUAUCAACGUCGUCGUCUUCAACGUUCCUUCAGGACCCUUAAAGGGUCAGGGAGAACUCAUCUCGGGGCAAGUUUCGUGCUUAGAUGCUUUCAGCACUUAUCUCUUCCGCAUUUAGCUACCGGGCAGUGCCAUUGGCAUGACAACCCGAACACCAGUGAUGCGUCCACUCCGGUCCUCUCGUACUAGGAGCAGCCCCCCUCAGUUCUCCAGCGCCCACGGCAGAUAGGGACCGAACUGUCUCACGACGUUCUAAACCCAGCUCGCGUACCACUUUAAAUGGCGAACAGCCAUACCCUUGGGACCUACUUCAGCCCCAGGAUGUGAUGAGCCGACAUCGAGGUGCCAAACACCGCCGUCGAUAUGAACUCUUGGGCGGUAUCAGCCUGUUAUCCCCGGAGUACCUUUUAUCCGUUGAGCGAUGGCCCUUCCAUUCAGAACCACCGGAUCACUAUGACCUGCUUUCGCACCUGCUCGCGCCGUCACGCUCGCAGUCAAGCUGGCUUAUGCCAUUGCACUAACCUCCUGAUGUCCGACCAGGAUUAGCCAACCUUCGUGCUCCUCCGUUACUCUUUAGGAGGAGACCGCCCCAGUCAAACUACCCACCAGACACUGUCCGCAACCCGGAUCACGGGUCCACGUUAGAACAUCAAACAUUAAAGGGUGGUAUUUCAAGGUCGGCUCCAUGCAGACUGGCGUCCACACUUCAAAGCCUCCCACCUAUCCUACACAUCAAGGCUCAAUGUUCAGUGUCAAGCUAUAGUAAAGGUUCACGGGGUCUUUCCGUCUUGCCGCGGGUACACUGCAUCUUCACAGCGAGUUCAAUUUCACUGAGUCUCGGGUGGAGACAGCCUGGCCAUCAUUACGCCAUUCGUGCAGGUCGGAACUUACCCGACAAGGAAUUUCGCUACCUUAGGACCGUUAUAGUUACGGCCGCCGUUUACCGGGGCUUCGAUCAAGAGCUUCGCUUGCGCUAACCCCAUCAAUUAACCUUCCGGCACCGGGCAGGCGUCACACCGUAUACGUCCACUUUCGUGUUUGCACAGUGCUGUGUUUUUAAUAAACAGUUGCAGCCAGCUGGUAUCUUCGACUGAUUUCAGCUCCACGAGCAAGUCGCUUCACCUACGUAUCAGCGUGCCUUCUCCCGAAGUUACGGCACCAUUUUGCCUAGUUCCUUCACCCGAGUUCUCUCAAGCGCCUUGGUAUUCUCUACCUGACCACCUGUGUCGGUUUGGGGUACGAUUUGAUGUUACCUGAUGCUUAGAGGCUUUUCCUGGAAGCAGGGCAUUUGUUGCUUCAGCACCGUAGUGCCUCGUCAUCACGCCUCGGCCUUGAUUUUCCGGAUUUGCCUGGAAAACCAGCCUACACGCUUAAACCGGGACAACCGUCGCCCGGCCAACAUAGCCUUCUCCGUCCCCCCUUCGCAGUAACACCAAGUACAGGAAUAUUAACCUGUUUCCCAUCGACUACGCCUUUCGGCCUCGCCUUAGGGGUCGACUCACCCUGCCCCGAUUAACGUUGGACAGGAACCCUUGGUCUUCCGGCGAGCGGGCUUUUCACCCGCUUUAUCGUUACUUAUGUCAGCAUUCGCACUUCUGGUACCUCCAGCAUACCUCACAGUACACCUUCACAGGCUUACAGAACGCUCCCCUACCCAACAACGCAUAAGCGUCGCUGCCGCAGCUUCGGUGCAUGGUUUAGCCCCGUUACAUCUUCCGCGCAGGCCGACUCGACCAGUGAGCUAUUACGCUUUCUUUAAAUGAUGGCUGCUUCUAAGCCAACAUCCUGGCUGUCUGGGCCUUCCCACAUCGCUUCCCACUUAACCAUGACUUUGGGACCUUAGCUGGCGGUCUGGGUUGUUUCCCUCUUCACGACGGACGUUAGCACCCGCCGUGUGUCUCCCGUGAUAACAUUCUCCGGUAUUCGCAGUUUGCAUCGGGUUGGUAAGUCGGGAUGACCCCCUUGCCGAAACAGUGCUCUACCCCCGGAGAUGAAUUCACGAGGCGCUACCUAAAUAGCUUUCGGGGAGAACCAGCUAUCUCCCGGUUUGAUUGGCCUUUCACCCCCAGCCACAAGUCAUCCGCUAAUUUUUCAACAUUAGUCGGUUCGGUCCUCCAGUUAGUGUUACCCAACCUUCAACCUGCCCAUGGCUAGAUCACCGGGUUUCGGGUCUAUACCCUGCAACUUAACGCCCAGUUAAGACUCGGUUUCCCUUCGGCUCCCCUAUUCGGUUAACCUUGCUACAGAAUAUAAGUCGCUGACCCAUUAUACAAAAGGUACGCAGUCACACGCCUAAGCGUGCUCCCACUGCUUGUACGUACACGGUUUCAGGUUCUUUUUCACUCCCCUCGCCGGGGUUCUUUUCGCCUUUCCCUCACGGUACUGGUUCACUAUCGGUCAGUCAGGAGUAUUUAGCCUUGGAGGAUGGUCCCCCCAUAUUCAGACAGGAUACCACGUGUCCCGCCCUACUCAUCGAGCUCACAGCAUGUGCAUUUUUGUGUACGGGGCUGUCACCCUGUAUCGCGCGCCUUUCCAGACGCUUCCACUAACACACACACUGAUUCAGGCUCUGGGCUGCUCCCCGUUCGCUCGCCGCUACUGGGGGAAUCUCGGUUGAUUUCUUUUCCUCGGGGUACUUAGAUGUUUCAGUUCCCCCGGUUCGCCUCAUUAACCUAUGGAUUCAGUUAAUGAUAGUGUGACGAAUCACACUGGGUUUCCCCAUUCGGAAAUCGCCGGUUAUAACGGUUCAUAUCACCUUACCGACGCUUAUCGCAGAUUAGCACGUCCUUCAUCGCCUCUGACUGCCAGGGCAUCCACCGUGUACGCUUAGUCGCUUAA
rnacentral:rRNA from 1 species